rnacentral:rRNA from 1 species
GUGGGGAAUUUUGGACAAUGGGCGCAAGCCUGAUCCAGCAAUGCCGCGUGCAGGAAGAAGGCCUUCGGGUUGUAAACUGCUUUUGUACGGAACGAAACGGUCCGGGUUAAUACCCUGGGCUAAUGACGGUACCGUAAGAAUAAGCACCGGCUAACUACGUGCCAGCAGCCGCGGUAAUACGAAGGGGGCUAGCGUUGCUCGGAAUUACUGGGCGUAAAGCGUGCGCAGGCGGUGCUGUAAGACAGGCGUGAAAUCCCCGGGCUCAACCUGGGAAUUGCGCUUGUGACUGCAAGGCUGGAGUGCGGCAGAGGGGGAUGGAAUUCCGCGUGUAGCAGUGAAAUGCGUAGAUAUGCGGAGGAACACCGAUGGCGAAGGCAAUCCCCUGGGCCUGCACUGACGCUCAUGCACGAAAGCGUGGGGAGCAAACAGGAUUAGAUACCCGGGUAGUCC